rnacentral:lncRNA from 1 species
AGAGUAUUGGGAUUAUAGGUGUGAGCCACUGCCAGAAAAACGUUUCCUAAGACAAGGCAGGUCUUACAUUAUAUUUAAAUUUUUUUUAAUGAUGUCUUUUUUGGCAGUGCACAGCCAGAGAACAACACAUCACACACAAGAAACAGUUGUGCUCAUGUGAUGGGGGCCUCAGCACUAGGAAGGAGUGGACUGUUGGCGCACGCAGCAGCUUGAAUAAAUCUGAAAGUCACUACGCUGCGUAAGAGAAGCCAAAUAAAGCGCAUGCUGUGUACAGAGGGUGUCGAGAAUGUGUCCUACGUGACGGAAAGCAGAUCCGUGGUUCCCUGCAGACUGGCAGGAGCAGAUUCCAAAGGCACAGGAAGAAGCUUGCAGUACAAAGAUAAAAAUCUAAAGUGGUUGCUGUGGAGGACAGGGGUCAGUGGUGGAAGUGAGACCGAAAUAGACUCUGAAGUAAUAUCUGGACUUUGAAAUUGCGCCAACCCUGAGACCAAAAUUUGGAAGGUGGCCCUGAGCAGCAGCUGAAGGGAAGUGGGAGCUUGCCUGUUCACUCUGGCUGGUCAUAUGCAGAAAACCGAAACUAGACCCCUUUCUGACACCUUAUAUAAAAAUUAACUCAAGAUGCAUUAAAGAUUUAAACGUGAGACCUAAAACCAGAAAAAUCCUAGAAGAAAACCUAGGCAAUACCAUUGAGGACAUAAGCAUGGGCAAAGACUUUCAUGACUAAAACACCAAAAGGAAUGGCAACAAAAGCCAAAAUUGACAAAAGGUUUCCUUAACGACAACAAAAAAGGGAGUAAUCCUACCUACUGUAAGAGUCAUGACUCUUGAUUGCAGCUGACAGAAACUCAUGACA